rnacentral:snRNA from 1 species
ACCUUUGUGCAGUGGAAGUAUAUCGUAGCCAAUGAGGUUUAUCCGAGGCGCAAUUACUGCUAAUUGAAACAAUUGGGUAGUUUCUGAUUCUUAUCAAUAUAA